GACGAACGCUGGCGGCGUGCUUAACACAUGCAAGUCGAACGGAAAGGCCCUGCUUUCGUGGGGUUCUCGAGUGGCGAACGGGUGAGUAACACGUGAGUAACCUGCCCUUGACUUUGGGAUAACUUCAGGAAACUGGGGCUAAUACCGGAUAGGAGCUCCUGCUGCAUGGUGGGGGUUGGAACGUCUCGGCGGUUGGGGAUGGACUCGCGGCUUAUCAGCUUGUUGGUGGGGGAGUGGCUUACCAAGGCUUUGACCGGUAGCCGGCCCGGGAGGGUGGCCGGCGACAAGGGGACUGCGGGAGGGCGCAGUCUCGUACAGGAGACAGCAGUGGGGAGUAUUGUCCAGUGGGCGGAAGCCUGUGGAAGCGGCGCCGGGGGUGGAAUGACGGACUGCGGGGUAAGAAACGCUUCCGCUUGUGACGAAGCUGGAGUGACGGUAAUGGGUAAAGAAGCACCGGCUAACUACGUG
rnacentral:rRNA from 1 species